AGGGGAGCAGAUGGAGCGGGAUACGAUAGACGGGGGGUGUGCUUGCGGGUGUGAUCGGGUCCCAGAGGCGGUGGCGGAGAAGAAGGGGGGUGGUGGAGGGGGACGAAGGCGACGGCUCCGGCGAUCAGGUGGGGGCGCAGCCAGGCCGAGAGGCUGGAGGCACCAAACCGAAGGGGGGAAGCGGCCAAGUUGUCGUUGGUGGGAUGCUAAUCCCGUCGGGUUAUGUAGGUGUUUAUCCGGCUUAACAAAACGGGGAAGUGGAGGCCGAGUGGGACGGACGGACACACCCCCGAUUCCGUGCUGCCGCGGGUCAGCUCACC
rnacentral:lncRNA from 1 species